ACAGUCGAUUAGGCAAUCGCUGUUUUUUUUCUAAAAUAGAGGAAAGUCCGGGCUUCGCAGGGCAGGAUGCUAGGUAACGCCUAGGAGGCGCGAGCCUACGGAAAGUGCCACAGAAAAUAUACCGCCUAAUGUGUCUAAAAACAGCACAAACAGGUAAGGGUGAAAUGGUGCGGUAAGAGCGCACCGCGCUUUUGGCAACAAAAGUGGCAGGGUAAACCCCAUCCGAAGCAAGACCAAAUAGGGAAACACGCUUCAACGCACAUGCGGCCCGCAUGGGUUUCCGGGUAGGUUGCUAGAGGAUAACGGUGACGUUAUUCCCAGAGGAAUGGUUGCCACCCCGCAAGGGGAUACAAAACCCGGCUUAUCGAUUGACUGUUCUG
rnacentral:RNase_P_RNA from 1 species